GACUUGGUAGCUCAGCUGGUAGAGCAUCUCCCUUUUAAGGAGAGGGUCCUGGGUUCGAACCCCAGCCAAGUCACAA
rnacentral:tRNA from 2 species